rnacentral:rRNA from 1 species
CUCCCAGACUCCUACGGGAGGCAGCAGUGAGGAAUAUUGGUCAAUGGGCGCGAGCCUGAACAAGCCAAGUCGCGUGAGGGAAGACGGUCCUAUGGAUUGUAAACCUCUUUUGUCGGGGAGCAAAAGACGCCACGCGUGGCGUUCCGAGAGUACCCGAAGAAAAAGCAUCGGCUAACUCCGUGCCAGCAGCCGCGGUAAUACGUAGGUGGCAAGCGUUAUCCGGAUUUACUGGGUGUAAAGGGCGAGUAGGCGGGAUUGCAAGUCAGAUGUGAAAACUAUGGGCUCAACCGAUAGAGUGCAUUUGAAACUGCAGUUCUUGAGUGAUGGAGAGGCAGGCGGAAUUCCCGGUGUAGCGGUGGAAUGCGUAGAUAUCGGAGGAACACCAGUGGCGAAGGCGGCCUGCUGGACAUUAACUGACGCUGAGGCGCGAAAGCGUGGGGAGCAAACAGGAUUAGAUACCCUUGUAUG